ACAGCAAUGGAUAAAGGCAGAGGACCAUUUGCCAAGUGAUAACUUACCAGACUAUGCCAGUUGGUAACUUGCCAAAUGGUGAGGAGAAUCUUGCCAAAUCCUUGCAGUUGGUUAGAAAUGCAGUGGAAGUCAAUAUACGCAACCCACUUUCCAACUGGUUACAGGCACACUUUGUUUCCCAGGUUGUACUGAAGACUGGAUUCUUUCUCCUUCCCUUGAGACCCUUCAGCCUCUCGGGGAUUGGAUGACCUUCUUGAACAGUGUAUGAUGGAGCAGCAGGGAAGAAGGAAUUGCCCAAAAUUGAGCAGAGCUUCCUUGCAUGUUUGGGAUAGUCCUCAGCCUUUCAAAGAGGCGUCUGCAAGAGGUUUCACUGGAUUUUCCAAAGCAGUAGAUAACAAACAGAGCACCUGAAGACUGAAUAUUAAAAAAAUAAGGUAAACAAAGGUUACAGGAAAAACUGGCAGUACAUAGGCAAUAUAAGAGCUUGCCUAAAGAUGGGGCAUUGGUUUCACUGAAGUGACCAAGGCAAGAGUUUCAUUGUGAUCAAUGGGGUUAAGAUUCUACCAGGUGAGUAUAGAGCAGGCGUGAGCAGAAAUUAGAUCUGGAUCUACUGGUAGAUUUCUGGGUGAUCUGUAGCAGAUCGGCAGGGUUUUCUGACUCCAAUU